GGGGAAUUAGCUCAGUUGGCUAGAGCGCUUGACUGGCAGUCAAGAGGUCAGCGGUUCGACUCCGCUAUUCUCCA
rnacentral:tRNA from 1 species